GACGAACGCUGGCGGCGUGCUUAACACAUGCAAGUCGAACGAAGAGCGAUGGAAGCUUGCUUCUAUCAAUCUUAGUGGCGAACGGGUGAGUAACGCGUAAUCAACCUGCCCUUCAGAGGGGGACAACAGUUGGAAACGACUGCUAAUACCGCAUACGAUCUAACCUCGGCAUCGAGGAUGGAUGAAAGGUGGCCUCUAUUUAUAAGCUAUCACUGAAGGAGGGGAUUGCGUCUGAUUAGCUAGUUGGAGGGGUAACGGCCCACCAAGGCGAUGAUCAGUAGCCGGUCUGAGAGGAUGAACGGCCACAUUGGGACUGAGACACGGCCCAGACUCCUACGGGAGGCAGCAGUGGGGAAUCUUCCGCAAUGGACGAAAGUCUGACGGAGCAACGCCGCGUGAGUGAUGACGGCCUUCGGGUUGUAAAGCUCUGUUAAUCGGGACGAAAGGCCUUCUUGCGAAUAGUUAGAAGGAUUGACGGUACCGGAAUAGAAAGCCACGGCUAACUACGU
rnacentral:rRNA from 1 species